rnacentral:rRNA from 1 species
AAAAACUUUUUUUAAAUUAAAAAUUGAAAUUUUUUUAAUUUGUGCAGAAACAAUUAUUAAUAUUAAGGACAAGAAGACCCUAUGAAUUUAUUAAAUUUCAUUCAAUAUGUAAUUACUAUUGAAGAAAUUUUGGCUGGGGCGGCUAAAAAAUAUUUUAAACUUUUUAAAAAUAAAAUGAUCCAUUAUUAAUGAUUAUAUGUUAAAUACUCUAGGGAUAACAGCGUUAUAUUUUUUGAUAGACCAUAUUGACAAAAAAGUUUGCGACCUCGAUGUUGGAUUAGGAUACUUUUUUAAUGCAGAUAUUAAAAAAAGAAGUUUGUUCAACUUUCAAUUUCCUACAUGAUCUGA